rnacentral:pre_miRNA from 1 species
AAUAAACGAAUUCCUGAGUUUUUAGAUUGAUUUUUUGACUCUUUGUCUUAUUUGAAAAUUUUUUAUGAUUAAUAUUUUUAUUAUUAUUAUAUGAUAAAACAUGAAUAGUACUUUGCAUGUGACUAAUUUUUUUUCAAUUUUUUAAUAAAUUUUUUUAAAACGGAUGGUCAAACGCUUUAUAGACAAAACUCAGG